rnacentral:rRNA from 1 species
UACAGAGGCUGCAAGCGUUAUUCGGAUUCACUGGGCGUAAAGGGUGCGCAGGCGGCCAGUUGAGUUAGGCGUGAAAGCCUGAGGCUUAACCUCAGAAUUGCACCUAAAACUACAUGGCUAGAGCAUUGGAGAGGGUAGCGGAAUUCACGGUGUAGCAGUGAAAUGCGUAGAUAUCGUGAGGAACACCAGAGGCGAAGGCGGCUACCUGGACAAUUGCUGACGCUCAGGCACGAAAGCGUGGGGAGCAAAAGGG